rnacentral:rRNA from 1 species
AUUGAACGCUGGCGGCAUGCUUUACACAUGCAAGUCGAACGGUAACAGGCCGCAAGGUGCUGACGAGUGGCGAACGGGUGAGUAAUGCAUCGGAACGUGCCCAGUCGUGGGGGAUAACUACUCGAAAGAGUAGCUAAUACCGCAUACGAUCUAUGGAUGAAAGCGGGGGACCGUAAGGCCUCGCGCGAUUGGAGCGGCCGAUAUCAGAUUAGGUAGUUGGUGGGGUAAAGGCUCACCAAGCCAACGAUCUGUAGCUGGUCUGAGAGGACGACCAGCCACACUGGGACUGAGACACGGCCCAGACUCCUACGGGAGGCAGCAGUGGGGAAUUUUGGACAAUGGGCGCAAGCCUGAUCCAGCAAUGCCGCGUGCAGGAAGAAGGCCUUCGGGUUGUAAACUGCUUUUGUACGGAACGAAACGGCUCUGGUUAAUACCCGGGGCUAAUGACGGUACCGUAAGAAUAAGCACCGGCUAACUACGUG